rnacentral:rRNA from 1 species
CUGGCGACCGGCAAACGGGUGCGGAACACGUACGCAACUUACCCUGAACUGGGGGAUAGCCCGGGGAAACCCGGAUUAAUACCCCGUACCAUAAUUGAGUGGCAUCAUUUAAUUAUUAUAGCCUUUACGGGCGGUUUGGGAUGGGCGUGCGGCUGAUUAGGUAGUUGGUGUGGGUAACGGCCCACCAAGCCUGCGAUCAGUAACUGGUGUGAGAGCACGACCAGUCACACGGGCACUGAGACACGGGCCCG